UUGUUGAAGAAAAACCCCUUCACAACAUCUAGCCAAGUCAAGAACACUCUGGAGGAGGUAGGCAUACAAUCAAGUCUACAUUCAAGAGACACAUUCAUGAAUGUAAAUACAGAUGGUGUACCUCAAGAUACAAACCACUGGUAACACUCAAGAAGAGAAAGGCCAAAUUUGACUUUGCUAACAAACCUCUAAAAAAUGCCUGAGCAGUUCUGAUGCAAGAUUAACCUGUACCAGAAUGAUGGGGAAAGUAUGGAAAAGGAAAGGAAGGGCCCAUGAUCUAAAGCAUUCGACAUCACCUGUCAAACAUGUCUAGGCAGUGUUAUGGUAUGGGCAUGCAUGGCUGCCAAUGGAACUGGGUCACUGGCGUUUAUUGAUGAUGUGACUGCUAAUAGAAGUAGCAGGGUGAAUUCUGAAUGUAUAGAGCUGUAGUUUCUGCUUAGAUUCAGUCAAAUGCUGCAAAACUGAUAGGACAGCGCUUCACAUUACAGAUGGAUAAUGACUAGAGAUGCACAGAUGAGAGAUGCACUGAGAGAAUAAAAUUUUUACUUGCAUUUCUUUCAGAAUUGUGGAAUUAAUUGUUAUUAAUUUAAAAGACGGCAUAAAAGGCAGAACUAUCGCUUAUUGGUAUCGGCCAAUAAAGGCUAUUUUUCAUGCUAUCGGCUAUCGGCCAAUAGUUUAAAAACAUCUGAUGAUCAGCGCCGAUUAUAUCCUGUCAAUCAAAAGAGGGCGGGAAAACACAUUGAUUUCGUGCUAUGUGUAAAGAAGAUGUCUCUUGUGUGGAAUGAUGACAAAACUGCAGUUUGUAAGCCCUGUUAUCUCUGCAUUGCUAACAUUUUACACCGGAAGUGAGCAGCAGCGAAACGGGAAACGGGAGUUUUAGCAUCAAGUAUAAUUCCCCCAGCGCUAAUCGCGCACUGUUUCCGUGCUGCAUUAAAGUGCCAGUACACCGUUGAAAGAUUUAAAUAAAGAUGAGUUGACAAAAAAGUAUAUAUUGCACAGAAAAAUAUUUGUAGAGUAGUAUAUUUCAUGUCCAAUUAAUGUUAUUGUUACAGUUAAUUGUAACCCGCAAUGAAUUAUCAAAAAUAAAUAAUUUAUAAAAUGCAUAAAUAAGCUAAUCAGUUAAAACACAUACAUGUAAGAAACAAUUAAGAAUGGUUAAAAACAGUUUGACAGUGAUUUAAUGUAAACAAAUAGAAGUAUGGCUGUAAGGAAUUGUGGUGACGCUUCCCCUUUAAGAGGGGCCUUGGCCCAUUUUGAAGCAGCACUGAGCAGUGAGUGGAGAGGAGAAGCAGACAGACUAACAAGCUAAAAAGUUAAAAGCUUUUGUGAAAUGUUGAUUUAGAAGCUCAAAAACAAUACUUACCUGUUUGGGCAUUUAUGAAGAUUAAAUACAAGAAAACCACAACGUUUUUGACACGGGAUACAAGAUGGCGAGCCAAACCCAUGGACAAAGUUUCUAGAGACAACUUGGCUUCUUCGUGCCAGAGAGGAUCUGCUGUGUACGAUGGGACUCCGGUAAACUCGCUGCCAGAGCGGUAGGAGUGUUUGGACUAAUUUUUUCCCUUGGAACUGAACUGAACUUUUCUGAUCUUAAUUGAAUUUGAAGGUAUAAGUGAAACUGAACUUGAGCUGGAUCUGAAGUGUUACUUCACAUUGUAUUCUGUUUCAUCAUUGUGAAUAUUAUGAUUCAAGGUUUAAGAGUGUUUUACUUGCAUUGACUUUGAUUUGGAAACCACAUAAAUGUUUCCUCACCUGUAAGGAAAGAAAAAAAGUUAAUUCAAGGGAUAAAAAAAGAGAGAGAAAAUAGGGACACCCUGUUAACCUAAAACAAGAUACUUAGACCGGUCUAAUCUAAUAAAACAAGCUAGGUAAACCAAAUUAUUUGUGACCUACAUGAAGGAAAGGGAAAGAGGGGAAAAAAGGAUUAAAGUGGGUUCUACCUACCUUUUGCUACUUGCAGGACAAUUCAUUGGUUCUGAUGUCUGUUUAAUAUAUUGUCUUUGUUGACCUUCAGUAAACUGCCGGCUUUUGUAUUUAAAGUA